rnacentral:snRNA from 1 species
GGAUGUGAGGGUGAUCUGGCUGCAACAUCUGUCACCCCAUUGAUCACCAGGGUUGAUUCGGCUGAUCUGGCUGGCUAGGCAGGUGUCCCCUUCCUCCCUCACUGCUCCAUGUGCAUCCCUCCCAAAGCUGCAUGCUUGGUCGAAGAGGAUGACCAUCCCUGAUAGAAGAGGAAGGUUCUUUGGUCAAGGAUAUAGGAGUAGCUGUACUCCCCUGCUAGAACCUCCAAACAAGCUCUCAAAAAUAUUAGUGAGUGAUUUUACAAAUGAAUCCUCUAAUUCCGAUCAAUCCUUGAGAUAAUAGUAGUCCAAUCUAACAUCCUUU